CGUGGGAACAUACCUUUUGGUACGGAAUAGCCCUUGGAAACGAGGAGUAAUACCGUAUGAGCCCUUAGGGGGAAAGAUUUAUCGCCAAAAGAUUGGCCCGCGUUAGAUUAGCUAGUUGGUGGGGUAAAGGCCUACCAAGGCAACGAUCUAUAGCUGGUUUGAGAGGAUGAUCAGCCACACUGGGACUGAGACACGGCCCAGACUCCUACGGGAGGCAGCAGUGAGGAAUAUUGGACAAUGGGGGCAACCCUGAUCCAGCCAUGCCGCGUGAGUGAAGAAGGCCUUAGGGUUGUAAAGCUCUUUCAGAUGUGAAGAUGAUGACAGUAGCAUCAAAAGAAGCCCCGGCUAACUUCGUGCCAGCAGCCGCGGUAAUACGAAGGGGGCUAGCGUUGUUCGGAAUUACUGGGCGUAAAGGGCAUGUAGGCGGAUGAUUUAGUUGGGCGUGAAAGCCCAGGGCUUAACCCUGGAACUGCGCUCAAUACUGGUCAUCUAGAAUCCCGGAGGGGAG
rnacentral:rRNA from 1 species